GUUUCUAGCAACAUUUUCCUUUUCUGUUUAGAGAAGAGAUUUGAUUAUCAAAGAGGAAAAUGUCCUUCAGAUUGUGGGUUGCUGUGGUACAGGCCUAUUCUGUUCUUGGGCUACCAUCAAAAAGUAAAAUUGGCCAGCAAUACCAUACACCACACCAACAAAAAGAAAAAAAAAAGAGGGUCAGGAGAAACACACACUAGCACACACAAGUCCUUGAACUUCCACAGAGAUAUCACGUUACAUUUUGCAGUGUUUCCUAGGAAACCAUUUUAGUGUAAAAGGAACUCUUUGUCUCCUGCUCUUUGUAAAAUUGUUUGAACCACCAUAUCUUGUAAAAGGUUUCUUCACAGACAAUUUAUGCAGCAUUUAAUAAAAGCUCAAUCUGCAGUUUGCUGCACUAUCAGAAGCAAUAUUUCUAUCAACAGUCUGAAUACUUUAGAUUGUAUUUGUUGAGAAUUGAUAAGAUUAUGUAAUAAUUCCCAGAAGUCAGAGAAACAAAAUAUUCUAGUUGUUUUUUUCUUUUUUUUUUCUGACAUGGAGUGCCUUUCUCUAGCAGCAAGGCUGUAUAGGCACAUAAAAAAACACAAAGAAAACCCCCACCAAAAGGGUUCACCAAAAGGCAGAAAUUGCUUUAGGAAGCUCGUAUCAGCACCUUUUUACUGGCAUGUUCGCUGAAGCAGAGGUGGGUUUUGGUUUCUUUCUCUUUGAACAGCGAAGAGGCCUGCACAGGAUUUCCAGCUGCGGCUGCUGAGGGCUGCUGUGCGGCGGUGAGGUGCGGGCCUCCUGCGAGCCCACAUCCAGCAGGCUGGAACAAAGGGCUCCUCUGCCCUGAGCUGUGCCCGUCACUCCCUGCAAGGUGCUGCCCCGAAACAGGACAGGGCCUCAGCUGCUGCUGGGGGGCUGCUGUGCAGAAGAGCCUCUUUGCUCUGCAGCCAGCCCAGUCCAGCUCUGCAGGGAGGGUGGAAGCUCUGAGUACUAGGCCAGAGAAAGAGGGUGCUGCUGUGGGUGCCUGCCCUCUGCUUGGCUGGCCAAGACCACACUGGGGCAAUGUGUUUCCUUCAGCUCCUCUCCUGAUUCUUCCUGCCCUGCAGAAGACUAAGUCUCAGACAACAUCCUCUGAAUCAGGCCUGUGAAGCACAACGGAUUUAUGCCUGCUGAAAGAAAAUAUAUGGUACUCUGUUAUUAACAUGUAAAAUCUGGGGAUUGAAGUCACAUCUGUAUGAUGAUCUAUUUUGGUGGACCACAUGUUCUUAAAUCCCAGCCUUGCUUUUUUAAACUAUUAAGUCUGUCAUAAAUAUUUGACAAUGAACAAGAUUAUAAAAGCAAAAUGCAAAAUAUGAAUAGAGGGAGAGCAAAUGUGUGAUUUAAUUUUUAAUUAAUUACCAGCACCUUACACUAAAGUAAAAGGCAAAAAGUAACAAAUUUCUUCCUCACUGCAACCUGAUCGAAAUGAUCAGUAUUGCAUCUAUUUGUAUUUAUUAAAGGAAAAUGAUGAAUCAUCUAGAAACAAGAGAACCAGGAAACAAGAAACAAGGUAGAACAGUCUGGUUUUAUUACCAUAUGUAAUCAAGAGCUUUUAUUUCCCACCUCUCCUCCUUUUUCUUUUCCUUUCCUGCCUUUUUUUUUUUCCUUUUACAACCGACAUUAAGUUGUGAAUCAUAUGUUAGGGGGAUGUGGAAAUGAAGGGAAACUGGUGACAUCACAAUACUUUACAACUUUACAAAUGAGAGUCUGAAUUUGUUGCAUCUACCAGUGUAUAGCAAGGGUGGAAAGCAAAGGCACACAUAGGUUCAUGAACCCUCAAAACAGAAUGAGGGUGGAAGGGAACUGGGGUUGGGAAAGGAUGAAAACAAAAGACCCACCGAAUACAAAAUGAACAUUUCGAGGUCAACCCAGUAACUGCAGUGUAAGUUGUGAAGGCAGAUCGCUGCACAAGCUGUUUCCAUGAUUUUCCAUCUCCAUGGUUUGGGACAACGUUUUGAGGGAUAAUAUCAAGGGAACUCUGCUUCAGGGGUUGGAGCUUGAUAAAAAGGUGUUAAGUUGGUUCUUUUUUAAAAAAAUUAGCUUGCUACCUACUGUUUUCAAAGGGUUUUCAGUUUGUUUUUAUUAAAACAACAACAUUGCUUUGGAUACAGAUCUAUCUACUCCAGUCUGCAUAGUUCACUACGGGUGAACAAAACUGUUUCAUAGAAGAAGCCAUGAUGAAAUGAAAGAACAUGCAAGCACCCUUGUUACACACUUUGGUGUAGACCAUCCAGACCUUAUAUAUACCAUCUAUAAGCUAGUGGACUUUAAAUCUGUCUUUUCAACCAUUCGGAAACAAAACCAAAACCCUGAAAAACAAAUGGAAGUAUAAAAUUUUAAAAAACAAAUUGAAACAGAAACAACCACCUUACUCAAACAUACUGUUCAGUAGAUAUAUAUAUAUAUAUAUAUAUAUAUAAAAAGCUUAGAAGCGAUCCCCAUCAUUUUUCUACAGUAUGUUGACACAGUUAUUGUAACAGAUUAAAAACACAGCUACGUUUUUGCAUAAACUGAAAGACUGGAAAGGAACUUACACACCUGCGUGCGCACACACACGCACACACCUGUGCGCACGCACACUCCCACACUAGCUACAUGCACAGUCACACAAAAGAAACAAAGGAAAAAAAA